UUUUGUUGCUGCGUUCCCCUAACAAUCGCUUAUAAUUUGUCCAAGCAGAAUUGCCGUACAACUUGUGUCGCAGCGCUAGUUCCGUAUACAUUGAAAUUCAAAUUUUCCCCAAAAACAUCGCGAUGGAGUCCGUUUUCUUGAGGUUCGACUCGUAUGAUUUUGAAGCUGAUAGAAGGUUCCAACAAGGCUUGCACACAUUACACUCUGGCGUCUCUAGGAAAGAAACGAACAUACUCGAUGCAAAACUCUUCUUUUAUAACAGGUUUGUGGAGCCCAUGGACUCCAUCAGUUACAAAGCGUGGUCCAACUCUGCUUCCAGAGUGGUGCCUCCAUCAUGCGGCGAUUCUGAAGGACAGACGACCGAGAAGUCUGAGGCGUCACAAGUCAAGUCGCUUUCCUUCGCUGAGGUGAUGCAACUCGUGCAGGAGGGCAAGGACGUGCCCGGAGUUACAAAAGUGGACAUACAGGCAAGCAAUCAGAAUGCGACUCCAUCACAAAUGGAAAGAAUACGCAAACCCUGGGAAGUGGCGUCAGUGCCCAGGUAACAAGUCACCCAAGAAGUCACCUUUUCGUUUUUAUUAGAAGCCCUUGUUUCAUAAAUGUGAAAAAGCAUAUAACCGAUUGUUCUGAAUUUGAAUGGGUUUAAGUUGGACAGGGCUUCAUUUUGAGAAGAGGAACAGGAGCUAAAAUUCUGAUCUUGCAAAAAUGAACAAGAUUUGACGUCUUCGUUGGAAUGGGACAGCAAAUGCUUUGGCCCUGGCCUGUUGCAUUAGUUGCCCACCCUUUUUUUUGGAUCAUCAUCUUAUGAACUACACCCAAGCAUGGACUCAACAUCUUUUUCAUUGAUCAGCUCAGUGGAAGAGUUUCCCAAGCCCUUGGUGAGCCAGGACAUAUUUUGCAUUAGAGGAGAAUCCCGCGGCGCACCAAGAAACCACAAUGGAUCGGAAAUGUCUCUUCUCCCUCUGCUAAUGAAUUGGCUUGCUUAGUUUGAAAUGAAAUGUGAAAUGUUCAGUCAAACACGUUUUCUGUUGUGUGAUGCCAAUAGUCAAAACAUUAUGCACAUUCGUUGUUUCUUCUCCCAUCCAGUGGAAGAGCAAUGAAUUGUUCCGCUUGUUAUAAUACUCUAAAUUGCUGGCAUAAAUCGAUGAACAAAGGUACAUUUGAAUAUCCAUCCAUCCAUGAUGCGAACUGCUCAUCUUUACAAGGGUUGCGGUUGUGCUGAGCUUAUAGGCGAUUGAAAGGGAUUGGUGCAUUUAAAAAACUACUCUUCAUGUGAUGGGAUUGUUGUUGUUACACAAAUUUCAUUUAUGUGGGCUCAGCUUAACCAUCUGCACAGAUCAAAAGAUGACAAAGUCUGGAACUGUUAGAAUAGCGCUCGAGGUAAAAUGAAUGAAUAAAUCCCGUUUGUAACUACGAGGCUCGUAUUGAUGCACAACAGGACAAUAAAUGUGUCACAGUAAGUUCUUCUUUAUGAAGGCAGCAACAUUUUGUAAACUUCCAGUCACAGUGGAAUGCUUCAAAUAAAGCAACGAUCAAUCCAGUAACGUGGAGGCACACUAGACGGACUUUCUGACAGUGGGAUAAUUCAUACAUUGAAAAAUAUGUCAAAUCAACACAUACAUCACAAACAUCAAGAUUAAAAGAAACUUAAUAAGUGGAUUUGCACUCAAAAAAAUCUAGCACCAGUAUAUUGCAUUUUCAUCAUCAUCAUUAUCAUCAUCACGCUCACAAUGACUAAUACAACAUCCAUGUUGGCUAACGGCAGUUUGUCUGGAAAAAAAAAAAAAAACAAAGCGACAUUUCUUCUAUUUAUGACAUUCAUAAAAACUGUAAAAAUAAGAGUAAUGGAAGAACUGAGGUAGAGAACAGUGGCCUGUGUCAGGAAGCAAGUCCUGUUUUGUUGAGACAAAAAAGGGACGUUCAACACGAUACCUUAAUAUGACAAAUAAAGAUACAGUAUAUUUUCUCAGAAAUCCCCUUUUGAGGCAGCCUAAAAAUACUUGCUGAUGAGGAUGCAGGCCAGCUGUGCUGUUGCUGACAUAAUACAGUAGAUUGUAGCACCAUAUAAAUGGGAAUUUGAAAUUGAACAACCACAAAAAAAAUCACUUUUUCAUAUUUGUUAACGAUAAUGAUUUAACAUUUCUGCAUGAAGUGGAAAACUCAUUUUGUGUUAAAUUUGAUCCAUGGUCAUGCUUGUAUCUCAGAUCAUCUUUCCCCAUUGAAAAGAAUGGAAAUACUUACAAUCAACCCAUUCAAGCCCUUCCCGGAAAAAAAAAAAGUUUAAUGUGUUUACUCAUUCAACCCCCCCCCCCCCA